AGGUAAAAUUUGGUAAUACAACAUUUAAGACAGAUGUGUAUCCCAAAUCACUUAAUCCUCAGUGGAAUUCUGAGUGGUUCAAAUUUGAAGUAGAUGAUGAAGAGCUGCAAGAUGAGCCUCUUCAAAUCACAGUUCUUGAUCAUGAUACCUACAGUGCUAAUGAUGCCAUUGGCAAAGUGUACAUAGAUAUUGAUCCUUUGCUCUAUAGUGAAGCAGCUACAGUUAUUUCAGGAUGGUUUCCUAUUUAUGAUACCAUUCAUGGUAUACGUGGGGAGAUCAAUGUGGUAGUGAAAGUAGACCUCUUCAAUGAUUUAAACAGAUUUAGGCAGUCAUCCUGUGGAGUCAAGUUUUUUUGCACUACAUCUAUUCCCAAGUGUUACAGAGCAGUAAUAAUUCAUGGAUUUGUGGAAGAACUUGUAGUUAAUGAAGACCCAGAAUACCAGUGGAUAGACCGAAUUCGUACACCAAGGGCAUCAAAUGAGGCUAGACAAAGACUUAUUUCACUCAUGUCAGGU